GGGAAGGUGGCUCAGUGGUAGAGUGCUUGCCUUGCAUGCAUGAGGCCCUGGGUUUGAUUCCUCAGUACCCC
rnacentral:tRNA from 1 species